GCCAGCCAGGGAGAAGAAGCCAGGAAGCAGGGUUACUCCAUGGUCUCUGCUUCAGUUCCUGCCUCCGGGUUCCUGCCCUGGGUUGCUGUCCUGACCUCUCUUCGUGAUGGCCCAUAACUCCUGACUGCAGGGCAGCUGGAGCAGAAAAACGCUGUAGAAUCUUAAAUCGGCUACACUUCACCCUGCAGAUAUCACAGGAUGGAGGACUCCGUGGAGCAGCAGAGCCUGGCUAACACCCGGACCUCAGAUGAUCCUGAGAGAAGCCAGACAGGCUGAGAGAGAAGAACCCGUGAGCUGUCAUUCUGUUUCAGGAUGGGCAUGUUCUGGAGGCAGUAGGCUCUAGCAGGCAUGGGCUGCAUGCAGCUAAAGAUACCCGAUCACUCAACUGAGACAAAUCACACUGGCCACAGACUUCAGCAUCCUUACCUGGUACCACGGAUGAGUUCAACUGGCAGGAAAAGCACUCUGUGAUUUUGCCAUGAACUGCAGAGAGUUCACAUUAUUAUUCAGGACCUGAUGACACUGGCUCUUCUUCAUUGCUCUUGCUCUUCAGAACAUUUCUGACCACUCCUGUUUAAUUUAUAUCUUCAAAUGAAUUACAGUUACCUCGUCUAAUUGCAAGAACCGAAUCCUAUAGAUACAUGAUGUUUCCCAGAUUUCCUCACCAUGAUGGGCUGCGCCCUACAACUGCGGAUGGCCUCCCGAUCCCGUAUAGCAGAAGCUGAUCUUUGAGUAUUUCAUUUUCUACCGUGAGACCCGCAAGAAUGAAAACGGACUCUAAAAGGCCCUGAGCAAUUUCUGGCAACAGAGGCUUCACUAGGUAUAUUUAGCAGGUGGAUUUGUUCUUCGCGCUGUCUUAACAAGUACUGUGAACAAGGUGUUGGUAUUAAUACCGCCUGUGAGUUUCAGUAGCUGAUACCGGUUACACCACUUUGACUAAAGACAGAACAAAGGAGACUUAAUGUGUUGCUGCAGCAAUAGAUUCUCAUGGAAGAAGAAAAUGGGAAUAGAUAGGAGGCACUUUUUUUUUUCUCCCACUGCUAUGUUCUCAUUUGCUCUACAUUUCCUCCUUUCAUGCCAUUGUGCCGGCCUUAUUUGUUUACUGGUCAUGACAUGAAGCUUUAAUUGUGGGGUAGCUGGUUGUAUCUACGUUAAGAGAGACAUAAAAACAGACCUUGGAGCAAUCAGCUGGAAAUUGCUCUCUGAGGUGAUGGCCAGUAAAGCAAAACACAGGUGCUAAGCAAUUACCUAGUGAGUAAGAUCAAUGUAGACAACUAAACCAGAUAAUGUACUCGCUCCUCCCCAAUCUCCCUUUCCAGUUUUAGACCAGAAUUGCCAGUGAAAGCUGGAAAGCCUGGCUUGUGGCUACUCUCCUGCCAUGUGUGCCGGCCAAGCCCACUCACUCCCUUAUGUCUGCCUUCAUUAUCGUGACCAUGACACAUCUCAACAUCAGUGCUGAAGGGCUUUUUUCUCAUUUCAGCCAGGAGCAGCAGAGCAUUUUGACUGUAAACUACCAAGGAUUUGUCAAAAUUCCUAUUAAACGCAUUUUGGUGGACGUUUGAGACAUGGCUGUAGGAGGUCCUCCCCUAUCAGCGGACUUAGAAAGGGGUAGGGAGAAGAUGAGGGAGGGAGGGUGGGAGUGGGAUACAUGGCUGAAUAUGUAUUUGAACAUUCCAUCAGCUGUAACUGGCUAUUACAGCUAAUACCCAAACAGAAUAAAAGCAGUCGUAAGAGUCUUGGGUGGAGGAAGGGUGGGACUGGGGGGAGAAGAGGAAGGGGGCUAGACCAGGAUGCAAAGUGAAUAAAUAAAUAAAUUAAUAGAUAGAUAGAUACUCUUUAAUGAGACUGGCCAUUAGCCAAUAACAGUGGAAGCGGCCUCACAGCAAACCAAGAUGGCAAGACACUUAGAGAAGGAGAGGCAGUGUGGAAAGGGAAGGGUUAACAGCAAAGGGAUCAGUGCCUACAGUAGCAAUAAAGGAGAAAACGUGAGGGGACACUGGGGAAAUGACUUACAAAGGCUUGAGAUCACUGAAAGGGGAAACGGGCAAUACUUCCUGUUUUCUUGUUAGCUCUUUAAAGUAGUACCUGCCCUUACACUGUUACCUGAGUGGGUACUGAGAGAGAGCACCGGAGAGAACGUUGUAGGCCACAGACAACGUGGUUAAAGGAGCUGGUGUGGCACACAACUUGAGGCCCUCAGUCCCUGCCCACACUGGAGAUGCGCAGGCGUGCAACACCCUGUGCUGUUGUUUCCUCCUUUGGGGAAAAAGGUAGUCUUGCCAUGAGUCUUCCGUAGUUUUUGAGUAUUCCUGCCUAAGACAAGGAACCUGCUGGAAUCCAUUGGCUUUAAGGUACUUUCGGGGUCUCUGGUCACCUGGUGGGAAUAACUGAAAGGAGGGAUCCACUGAUCCUAGGACAUAAACACAUGGACAUGAAGCUGGCAGCCAACACAGCAACCCAGAGGCUGUGCUGGUUGCCUUCAAGCUCACGGAGGAGGCAGCCAAGAGAUCCUUGAAGUGUUUACUUAGCAGGCAAAUGGAGGAGGAGUCACUAGAACAUUGAGAAGUGCUAGCCAGGUGUGGUGGUUUGAAUGAGAACGGCUCCCAUAGGUGCAUAUUUGAAUGUUUGGUUCCCAGUUGGUAGAACUGUUUUGGAAAAAUUAGGAAGUAUGGCCUUGUUAAAGGAGGUGUGUCAUUGCUGGUGGCUUUGAGGUUUCAAGGAAGCCCAUUGCCAGGCUCUCUUUAUGUCUCCUAUGGAUGGAUCAGAUAUGAGACCUUGGCUAGUGUUCUAGCACCAUGCCUGCCUGCCACUGUAGCCAGUGUUUGUUACUUUGUGUGUUCCUUUUUCUUCUCCCAUUCUCUGCUUCUCAAUCUCCUAACACUAGACUGGAGAGAAGAAAGGAUAAAGGGGAAAGGGCGGAGGUAACAUCAUCAUUGAGACUACUUCCUACUGACAAGGGGUGUUGAGUUCCUUGGGGCAAGUUUGAUCUUCUCCAUCAGGAUAUCUAAUUUCUUCUCAUUUCUUUGUGCUUGGCUAUUUAACAAACGGUUGAUCGACAGCAUCCAAAAGUCAUCCGGCAACCAGCCUGUCAGGACUCUAGCAUUUAUACAUCCUCCAAAAAGUCCAUACAAAACACAUACAAUUCUAAACAUUACAUUAUCACAGAAAUAACUGCAGCUGGCAAAACCAUGCCUCCUCUAAAACACAUGGCAAAUCAUAGCCAGCUGCUGUGAAACAGCCCCAUAUUCUCACACCUGGGAUUAAAACCAAAACAUAAUCUUAUAAUAUUGCUGUGUUUUGUUGUUGUUGUUGUUGUUUUUAAGAAACCAAAAUUACCCCAACAUGCUACUCUGCUUGCUAUCAUGACGGUCAUGAACUAACCAUCUGAAAUUAUAAGCAAGUCCUCAGUUAAAUGUUCUCUGUUACGAAUUGCCUUGUUCGUGGUAUUUCUCCGUAGUGAUAGAACAGUAUCUAGAGACGUCAGCGUUCUUGUGGGUACACAUUUUAAUGCUAUAUGAUAUCAAAUAUAUAGGCAUGUAAAGUCUAAAGUAUAUGAGUGUCAUGUCUAAAAAGUACCUUCGCAGAAAUGUUUAGACAAGUGUGUGACCAAUGUCAAGUUGAGCAUGUAAAGUCAAGCCGGAUCAGGGUUAUAUUGGAAAACAAAGACAAUUUAAGAUCGACACUUUUAGCUCAGAUUACUUUAUAAACUAGUUAGACAUCUAAAUAAGAAGUUAAGACACGAAAAGACUCCAAACAUCGACUACUUUAGCUAUUCUGCUGGCACAUCAGUACAGUUUGCUUAUUUGUACAUUCAUGAAACAAAGUAGAACCAAUAAUUCUAUUUUUCUCCUGACUCUCUCUCUCCUUCAGAGACCUGAAGCCAUAGGAAACUGUGGCAAGACAAAGCAGCAUUAGUGUAGUGCUACAAGUCGCUGCAAACCUAGAAAUUUGGUGGUGGUGAUGGCGGUGAUGGGAUGAGGAGGAGGAAGAAGACUGGGGAAGAGAAAGGAGGAAAAGGGAGCAACAACAGACUGGCAAACAGUAAUAAGGAAAGAACGCUUGCAGGAACUCAGGUCCUGAAGGGUUUCACUUAUGUAGAAAGAAGCUCAAGUGACAAUAGACUUUUAAUUUUAAUCCUCAGAGAAAAACGCCUAAUUAAAUAUUGGACAUAUUUGCAUGACUCCAUUGUGUCUAUGAAGAUUACAGUAUGUGAGACUGUGUGUAUGUGUAUGUGUAUAUACGGAUUAGAAAAAAAAAACACACACACAGCUGACAGGCUUCUCUAAGCUGGUAGCCCAACUCAUAUGAACUGGGGUUCAGACAUUCUUUGUAAGCUCUUGCUUAUACAAGCUUUAGUGAUCACCUGCUUAUUUGUCAUUUUAAUGAUCACCAACAUCCAAGAAGCCUUCCAUCCUAUGGGAACUCAAUGUCUUCCUUGUUCACAGGCUUCAGUAGCUACUUAAGAAGGGUAGCUUACAAAACAGUUCCUACAUCUGCAGGUCCCAGGGGCCAAAUUUAGUGAGCUGUUGAAUAAUUUAUAAAUGUAUCUAUCACAGUGAAGAAUGCACACUUUAUUCCCGUAUGCCAAAGACUCUUCCAUAAGGAGGCUGUGUCAAAACAACCAUUUCUCAGUGUGCUUACACCAAAGCAUCCCAUUACUCUUUCAUUCCAAAAUGAUCCUGGAACUUUGUAUUAUGAAGCUAACUGAAUCAUUGAGCAGACAUCAACAACAGAACAGAAAGCAGACUCAUAAGUGAUUCGGUUAAAACAAGAGCUUAAAAAUAUAUUUCAUAUUCAAAA